GAAAGUCACCAGACCAGCAAACAGCUCUCUGCCCUCUACGGCAGGACUCCACACUCUUAUGGGCACUGCUGAGGCCCAUGUCCUGCCCCUGGUGGAAGUUUGUGUUUUCUGGAUGGGUGGGUUGACCUACUAAUUUGGGAAGAGAAAGAAGCACCACGGAGGCAGUGAUUCAGUCAGGGUUCAGAGAUGAGCUAACCCGGACCUCAACAGCGCCUGUCCGGAGCAGUGCGUCUUCUGCACGUCCUUUGCUUCAAGGUUACAACUUGGUGAAAG
rnacentral:lncRNA from 1 species